rnacentral:rRNA from 1 species
AUUGAACGCUGGCGGCAGGCCUAAACACAUGCAAGUCGAGCGGUAGCACAGGAGAGCUUGCUCUCUCGGUGACGAGCGGCGGACGGGUGAGUAAUGUCUGGGAAAACUGCCUGAUGGAGGGGGAUAACUACUGGAAACGGUAGCUAAUACCGCAUAACGUCUUCGGACCAAAGUGGGGGAGCGUCGGGCCUCACGCCAUCAGAUGUGCCCAGAUGGGAUUAGCUAGUAGGUGGGGUAAUGGCUCACCUAGGCGACGAUCCCUAGCUGGUCUGAGAGGAUGACCAGCCACACUGGAACUGAGACACGGUCCAGACUCCUACGGGAGGCAGCAGUGGGGAAUAUUGCACAAUGGGCGCAAGCCUGAUCUAGCCAUGCCGCGUGAGUGAUGAAGGCCUUCGGGUUGUAAAGCACUUUCAGCGAGGAGGAAGGGUAGUGUGUUAAUAGCACAUUGCAUUGACGUUACUCGCAGAAGAAGCACCGGCUAACUCCGUUCCAGCAGCCGCGGUAAUACGGAGGGUGCAAGCGUUAAUCGGAAUUACUCGGCGUAAAGCGCAUGCCGUCGGUUUGUUUAGUCAGAUGUGAAAUCCCCGCGUUUAACGUGGGAGUUGCAUUUGAAACUGGCAAGCUAGAGUCUUGUAGCGGGGGGUAGAAUUCCACAUCUAGCGGUUUACCGGGCAUUAAUCAGCAGUAAUCCCGUUGUCAACCGGGGCCCCAGGUAUAAAGAGUGACGGUUAGAUUUGAAAGUGUGGGGCGCAAACAGG